AUACCCAUUGACUUGGACAA
rnacentral:rRNA from 1 species